rnacentral:rRNA from 1 species
GAGCUGGAGCCGCUGGAGAUCAAAGACGUGCUGCGAUGCAUCUUGCAUACAAUAUUCUUUCAUCGAACCCUCACUCUUGUUCGGCCCAAGGAUGUCGACUGCGACCUCUUUGAGAUCACAUAUGUUCAAUGUGGACUUGCAGAACUAGAAAAGGAGGUCGAUGAAAAGAUCAACCAGUUCAUUGCUUGGGCUGAAAAGCAUCCAAAUCGGAAAAGCCAGGUGUGCCUCUCGUUCUUCGAUGAGAAGAACAAGCACCCAGGCUGGUUCAGCAGCAAGACUGAGAGGGUUUACUGGGAACAAUGGUUCAUCAAUUUGCAUGUCACAAGCCCUAAAGGACAAGGCAAAUCACGUGGCUCCAAAGCGCCGGCGAAUACUAAAGGACAAGCAUUGGAAGAGACCAGCUCAAGACGUGAUGCGCUGAGCUUGCUGAUCCAAGAAGUCCUGUUCCAGAUCAUUAACUACGCCAAUGAGAAAAAAGACCAUAUUCCUCCAAUCUCUGAUAGAAUAUUCAAUCAUGAGAUUUUGGUCCCCAGCUCUUCUGAUUCUGUAUUCGGGUGGAACGCCGACGUUCUUCGGAGGGCAUUGAGUAGUGGACAUUCAUACUCACUGAACUGA